AACGCACAUUGCGCCCGCCAGCACUCUGGCGGGCAUGCCUGUUCGAGCGUCAUUUCAACCAUCAAGCCCCAGGCUUGCGUUGGAGCCCUGCGGCUGCCGCAGCCUCCCAAAAGCAGUGGCGGGCUCGCUAUCACACCGAGUGCAGUAGAUUACUCUUCGCUCAGGGCGUGUGGCGGGUUCCAGCCGUGAAACCCCCUACUUCUCAAGGUUGACCUCGGAUCAGGUAGGAAUACCCGCUGAACUUAA
rnacentral:misc_RNA from 1 species